UGCAAAUGAUGCUAACCUUUUGCUGUCUAAAUAGUCUUGAUGACAACCACCAAGAUCGCUGAUGCA
rnacentral:snoRNA from 1 species